AACGCCGCGGGGUGGGGGGCCACGUGCUUCCGGCGUGACCUACCGACCGGAAGUGGCCUGAGUCGGGUGGGAUAGGGUGGCGCCGCUAGGCCGGGAGGGCGGAGGCCCUGAGCCCCAGCCUCCCACCUCGGGGCCACAUUGGGAACCUUAUCAACAGCAUCGACACCUCCUCUGAUGGCCCCAGCCACAAUCUCUUCCACUUCCAGCUACUUGAGUCACUUCUGAGGCUCAACUGGGAGACCCCUCACACACAGGUGAAGGUGUGGCCGUGGCACCUCAGACCUCCUGGUCUCCUCAGGAAUGAAGGUCAUUGCCAUCCUCCUCCUCCUCCUCUCGUGAUGUAAGUAGAGAGCUUGUUGGGACAGCAGCAAGCUACUCUCUUUUGUCUAUGUCAGUGGGGUGGGGGGCUUCUCCAGGUGGCACCAGGUGAGGGAAGUCACAGGUCACUCAGAAAAGAAUCAGAAAUGGAACUGGUGCCCACCAAUGUCCUCUUGCUUCUGUUUCUGCUAUAAAAUGGGCUGAUCCGAGUGUUGGGAUUUUUUUUUUUUUUAGAUGGAGUCUUGCUCUGUUGCCCAAGCCCGAGUGCAGUGGUGAUCUUGGCUCACUGUAACCUCUGUCUCCUGGGUUCAAACAAUUCUCUGCGUCAGCCUCCUGAGUAGCUGGGAUUGCAGGUACCCAGGGAUCCUAUAAAGUGUCUAGGAAAUCAGAGGUUGCUAACCAUUUGCUAGAAAGGGAGUUUGACCACUAUUUUACCCCUCUUACCCCCAGGAGUAUGUUUUCCUUUGGAUGCUAGUAGCCUUUAUU
rnacentral:lncRNA from 13 species